AGAAUCAACGCUGGCGGCGUGCCUAACACAUGCAAGUCGAACGCGAAAGGGGAGCAAUCCCUGAUUAGAGUGGCAAACGGGUGAGUAACACGUGGGUGACCUGCCUUCGAGUGGGGGAUAACCUUCCGAAAGGAGGGCUAAUACCGCAUGACAUACCGUGUUUGGAUACAUGGAUAUCAAAGCCGGGAUCGCAAGACCUGGCGCUUGAAGAGGGGCCCGCGUCCGAUUAGCUAGUUGGUGAGGUAACGGCUCACCAAGGCUCCGAUCGGUA
rnacentral:rRNA from 1 species